rnacentral:rRNA from 1 species
GACAGAGGUCCCGAGCGUUAGGCGGAAUCACUGGGCUUAAAGCGUGUGUAGGCGGAUGCCUAAGUACCUUGUGAAAUCCCACGGCUCACCCGUGGAACUGCUUGGUAUACUGGGUGUCUUGAGCCACUUAGGGGCUACCGGAACAAAUGGUGGAGCGGUGAAAUGCGUAGAUAUCAUUUGGAACGCCAAUGAUGAAAACAGGUAGCUGGGAGUGUGCUGACGCUGAGACACGAAAGCCAGGGGAGCAAACGGG